GACGAACGCUGGCGGCGUGCCUAAUACAUGCAAGUAGAACGCUGAAGAGAGGAGCUUGCUCUUCUUGGAUGAGUUGCGAACGGGUGAGUAACGCGUAGGUAACCUGCCUUGUAGCGGGGGAUAACUAUUGGAAACGAUAGCUAAUACCGCAUAACAAUGGCUGACACAUGUCAUUUAUUUGAAAGGGGCAAUUGCUCCACUACAAGAUGGACCUGCGUUGUAUUAGCUAGUAGGUGAGGUAAUGGCUCACCUAGGCGACGAUACAUAGCCGACCUGAGAGGGUGAUCGGCCACACUGGGACUGAGACACGGCCCAGACGCCUACGGGAGGCAGCAGUAGGGAAUCUUCGGCAAGGGGGGCAACCCUGACCGAGCAACGCCGCGUGAGUGAAGAAGGUUUUCGGAUCGUAAAGCUCUGUUGUAAGUCAAGAACGGGUGUGAGAGUGGAAAGUUCACACUGUGACGGUAGCUUACCAGAAAGGGACGGCUAACUACGUG
rnacentral:rRNA from 1 species